AACGAACGCUGGCGGCAGGCCUAACACAUGCAAGUCGAACGCCGUAGCGAUACGGAGUGGCAGACGGGUGAGUAACGCGUGGGAACAUACCCCUCGGUUCGGAAUAACUCAGGGAAACUUGAGCUAAUACCGGAUACGUCCAAGGUUUUAAUCGACCUUGGAGAAAGAUUUAUCGCCGGAGGAUUGGCCCGCGUCUGAUUAGCUUGUUGGUGAGGUAAUGGCUCACCAAGGCGACGAUCAGUAGCUGGUCUGAGAGGAUGAUCAGCCACAUUGGGACUGAGACACGGCCCAAACUCCUACGGGAGGCAGCAGUGGGGAAUAUUGGACAAUGGCGAAAGCCUGAUCCAGCCAUGCCGCGUGAGUGAUGAAGGCCUUAGGGUUGUAAAG
rnacentral:rRNA from 1 species